rnacentral:rRNA from 1 species
GCUGACGCAUGGCGAGGCUGGGCGGUAAUACGGCGUGGCCGACGGGUAAUGGGAAUUACUGGGCGUUAAGCGUGCGCAGGCGUGUUGUUUAUCGAGAAGUGAAAGCGCUGGGCUCAACCUAGGAAUAGCAUUUCGAACUGGCGAACUAGAGUCUUGUAGAGGGGGGUAGAAUUCCAGGUGUAGCGGUGAAAUGCGUAGAGAUCUGGAGGAAUACCGGUGGCGAAGGCGGCCCCCUGGACAAAGACUGACGCUCAUGCACGAAAGCGUGGGGAGCAAACAGGAUUAGAUACCCCUGUAGUC